rnacentral:rRNA from 1 species
CCUACGGGAGGCAGCAGUAGGGAAUAUUGCUCAAUGGGGGAAACCCUGAAGCAGCCACGCCGCGUGGAGGAUGAAGGUUCUCGGAUUGGAAACCUCUUUUUUUAGGGAAGAUAAUGACGGUAUCUAACGAAUAAGCACCGGCUAACUCCGUGCCAGCAGCCGCGGUAAUACGGAGGGUGCAAGCGUUAUUCGGAAUCACUGGGCGUAAAGAGCGCGUAGGCGGGGUGGCAAGUCAGAUGUGAAAUCCUAUGGCUUAACCAUAGAACUGCAUUUGAAAAUGUUAUUCUUGAGUAUGGGAGAGGUAGGUGGAAUUCAUGGUGUAGGGGUAAAAUCCGUAGAGAUCAAGAGGAAUACUCAUUGCGAAGGCGACCUGCUAGAACGUAACUGACGCUGAGGCGCGAAAGCGUGGGGAGCAAACAGGAUUAAAUACCCCAGUAGUC